rnacentral:sRNA from 1 species
GGUCACCCGAUGAAUGGGCGUCGUACGAUGGUGUCGACGAUACGUCCGGCUGCUCGCACGCCAUGGAUGCGCGAUCGUCGCGAGGAUCACAAAAGGAAUGUGUCAUGUCCGAUCGCAUUGCCGGAACGGUCAAAUGGUUCAACGAUGCCAAGGGAUUCGGCUUCAUCGCGCCAGAAGACGGCUCGAAUGACGUCUUCGUUCACUUCAAGUCCAUCCAGACCAACGGUUUCAAGUCCCUCAGUGAAGGCGACAAGGUCACGUUCGUCGUCAGCCAAGGCCCGAAGGGACCGCAGGCCGAGGAGGUUCAAAAGGCCUGAUCGCGCAGACGCGGAGCCCAUAAGGAGCAUGGCGGCUGGCGUGCUCCUGUCU